rnacentral:misc_RNA from 1 species
UAGGAGACCCGUAUCAUCGUGGUCGGUAGGGUACGCAUUGGUCGCCUCUCUUUGAGCGGAUGGGUGACGAGCGUACCCUACCCCUUCCGCUCUCGAAUGGCUAAAGUCGAGCUAGAGAAACUGUCUGAUAAAUCGCUAGCUCGUGCAAGAACAGCUCGAUCAGUUCGUUCAGGAUGUCCGGUUCGCCCUCUUCCUGCAGCUCUCACAGGCCCGCCAGCACACUCAGAUCUAGAGGAUCUUCCUCCUAGUCCUCCCUAGUAGCAGAGCCGUUGCCCGCUGCAGAAACAGUCGCUUCCUCCUCCGGUCCUUUUUCCUCUGAGACCCAGCGCUCCAGCACCGCCUCUAGCUCCUCGGGUUUUACCGGCUUAGCGACGUAGUUUACGUAACCUAGAAAGUACAAACGACUCCGGCCUAACGUUCCGUGCCCUGCUUACUGAGGGCAGCGCCAUCCGAUUGGAGUUGAUGAGAGGUGUAGAGAUA